AUGUGCGGCAAUGAGGAGGAAUCGCUGUUUCACUCUCUGGUUUCAUGCAAUCAUGCCAAACUGUUUUGGACAGAGGCAGAAGAUUUCUUCGAGUUCAAGAUACCACGGCUACACCCAGCGACGUGGUCGAGGGAUUUGCUUGAUCCCAGUUUUAUCGGGAGAGACCGGGCGGUUGUCAUUAUCUCAGUCAUGUGGGCAAUCUGGUCAAGUAGGAACAAAUACACCCAUGAGGAAGUCAAAUAUCAGCCCGGGAGAUCGAUGGUCCUAGUGAAGGAACUCAUCCAAGCUCUGUACAUCCUGCCCAAUGCCGAGGGGAGGUGUAUCACGAAGGAGAGAUGGAAGCCACCGGAAGAAGGAUGGUGGAAGAUCAAUACGGACGCUGCGGUGGAUGGGAGCGGGGCUUCCUCAGCGAUCGGACUAGUGGCUCGGGGCCAUGACGGAGAAUUGAAGCUAGCGGGAGGCCGCAAGCUGCCCGGGGUAACUGAUCCGUAUUGUGCUGAAUUGCUAGCUGUUAGGGAGGCUGUGCGUCUGGCUAUGGAGAAGGGUUGGACGCGGGUGAUCGUCGAGACGGACUGCAAAACUAUUAUAAACGAGUAUAUGGCGAUGUAG
rnacentral:rRNA from 1 species